GAUUUUUAGGGGGGGGGGCUAGGAUGAAAUUUGAAAAAAAUAGGCAGGACAGGAGUUUUGAGUAAAAAAAAAAAGGCAGGAUGAGACACUUGCAAAAAAAAAGUCAGGACGACAAUUUAGGUAAAAACAAGUCAGGAUAAACUAAAAAAAAAAAGGCAGGACAGGGAUUUCAGCUAAAAAAAAAUGCAGGACAAAAUUUUUCCUACUAG
rnacentral:lncRNA from 1 species